GAGUUUGAUCGUGGCUCAGAUUGAACGCUGGCGGCAUGCCUUACACAUGCAAGUCGAACGGCAGCAUGAUCUAGCUUGCUAGAUUGAUGGCGACGUGGCGAACGGGUGAGUAAUACAUCGGAACGUGCCCUGUAGUGGGGGAUAACUAGUCGAAAGAUUAGCUAAUACCGCAUACGACCUGAGGGUGAAAGUGGGGGACCGCAAGGCCUCAUGCUAUAGGAGCGGCCGAUGUCUGAUUAGCUAGUUGGUGGGGUAAAGGCCCACCAAGGCGACGAUCAGCAGCUGGUCUGAGAGGACGAUCAGCCACACUGGGACUGAGACACGGCCCAGACUCCUACGGGAGGCAGCAGUGGGGAAUUUUGGACAAUGGGCGAAAGCCUGAUCCAGCAAUGCCGCGUGUGUGAAGAAGGCCU
rnacentral:rRNA from 1 species